rnacentral:lncRNA from 1 species
GCUAGCAUCAUUACUACUUGGAAUAUCAGUCCUUUGAAGGCUUUCAGUAUGUUCAAUGAAUUAUAAAAAGUCCACUGAAACAUUUUUUAAUGAAAAUCAGUGUUGAAGGAAAAAAAGAGUCUCAGCAGAGCACUAAAAAAUUUGAAGGAAUUUUAGUGAAUAAAUAAGAUCAACUGAGGAGAAAAGAGAACAGAGGAUACCUUAGCUUCAAAUGAUGAAUGAAAAAUCUGUCUUUCUCAAGACACCCAAAGAAUAGCUUCAAAUUUCAGCCAGGAAAAGUAGAAAACAGGAACGGAGAGAGGACGAAGAGCUACCAUCUGCCACUGGGAAUGACAGCUGACUACCUAGCUGAGGAUCCUUUGAAAUAAGUCGAGAUGGUCAAGUAAAUGAACACCAAAGCAGGAUCUCCAACAAAAGGAAAAAGUGAUUGUGUAUGGACAUGCCAUUCUAUUGGAGAGUUUCUAUUAAAAUACCUUUAUGACUUACAAGUUAAAAUUGUCAGGAUCAUGCUGUGAUAUGAUAUGGAAGAUUAAAUAUAGGAAAAUAUUUAUAGUAUAACAAAAAUGUACACAACCAUAUACAUAUUUAUUUCCAAAGGACUUUAAAUCAGUAGAAAUUAAUUUUAUUCAUUUAUUGCUGAAUAAUCUGAAUAAUUUUGGAAAAUUGUGAUUGGUAAAGAAAUGAAGAAUGUUUAUAUCUCUGGAAGUUGUAUUACUUUUAUAAUAAUGAAGUAAAUUCACCAAAUCUAUAUUCACAUGACAGUUACAAGUUCACAAAUGUAUAUUUAUAGAUACAUAAAGUGUGAUCUCUUUAAAAGUAAUUUGGGAAAUUGUUGAAUCUUAUGACCUUAUUAUCAAAUGUUAGUAUUAUAUAUAGAUCAUUACAGAGAAAGAAAGAAUGGAUUAUAUGUUUAUGUGUUCUCAAGGUCAUUGACUAGUCAUUACAUCAAAGUUAUUGAAUGGUCAUUAUAUUAUCUGAAUAAUUCCUUCAAUAACCUUGAGAGAGGUUAAAUAGCACUACUUAUCAUUUUCAUGUUACAAUUGCAAAAAUUAACAGUGAAAUAAGAAUAAAAGGAAU